AUACAAUUUGUCUAGGCUUGGCUUAAACUUUAUGUCGAUCCCUAUUUUGGUCUCUGGUUUGAUGGUUGCACGUAUGGUCUAUUUUCCCACGUAGUUCGUCGGUAAAACCAACGAUUCUCUUCUCAAAGUAAUAGAGAGAUCCUUUUCUAGUUAGACUUCUAUCAACAUAAUGAAAGAACCAUCCCUUCCCUAUUUCUUUGUCUUGUCAGAUAGAAAGAAAAUUAGACCCUAGCC
rnacentral:lncRNA from 1 species